AAGUCGUAACAAGGUUUCCGUAGGUGAACCUGCGGAAGGAUCAUUAAUGAAUUUUACCAACAAAGUUGUCGCUGGCCUCCUGGGCAUGUGCACACUUUGUUAAUUCAUCCACACACCUCUGUGCACUUUUCAUAGAUUGACGUUAUAGUGGGCAACCGCUGGUCUCUCUGUGUACUUUUAACAAACAUCAGUUUAAGAAUGUACGCUUGCGAUAAUCGCAUUGAAAUACAACUUUCAGCAACGGAUCUCUUGGCUCUC
rnacentral:misc_RNA from 1 species